CUACGGGAGGCUGCAGUGAGGAAUAUUGCACAAUGGGGGGAACCCUGAUGCAGCAACGCCGCGUGGAGGAUGGCGCAUUUCGGUGUGUAAACUCCUUUUAUAUGUCAAGAAAAUGACGGUAGCAUAUGAAUAAGCACCGGCUAACUCCGUGCCAGCAGCCGCGGUAAUACGGAGGGCGCAAGCGUUACUCGGAAUCACUGGGCGUAAAGGACGCGUAGGCGGGUUGGAAAGUCAGGUGUGAAAUCCUACAGCUUAACUGUAGAACUGCACUUGAAACUUCUAAUCUAGAGUAUGGGAUGGGGAGAUGGAAUUAGUGGUGUAGGGGUAAAAUCCGUAGAUAUCACUAGGAAUACCUAAAGCGAAGGCGAUCUCCUGGAACAUUACUGACGCUAAGGCGUGAAAGCGUGGGGAGCAAACAGGAUUAGAUACCCGCGUAGUC
rnacentral:rRNA from 1 species